GCAUCAUUGGUCUAGUGGUAGAAUUCAUCGUUGCCAUCUGACUCUUACCCAUCUCUGGGUAGUCAUGUGAUCUAAACUCGAUGAGGCCCGUGUUCGAUUCACGGAUGAUGCA